rnacentral:lncRNA from 1 species
AAGUUAUGGAGGAGCUAUCAGAGCUUCAUUUAGAUGGGAUUGCAAUUAAAGAACUGCCUUCGUCAAUUAAUAAACUCACGGGCCUUACUGUUUUGGACCUAUCUGGGUGUCAAGAACUCAAGAGCCUGCCGAGCAGCAUUCAUAUGAGAUCUCUUCAAACCCUUAAUCUUUCUGGUUGCUCAAACCUUGAGAAGUUUCCUGAGAUUUCAGAUGUUAUGGAGAAGCUAUCAGAGUUAUAUUUAGGUGGGACUGCAAUUAAAGAACUGUCUUCGUCAAUUAAUAAACUCACGGGUCUUCCUGCUUUGGACCUACGUGGCUGUCAAGAACUCAAGAGCCUGCCGAGGAGCAUUCAUAUGAGAUCUCUUCAAACCCUUAAUCUUUCUGGUUGCUCAAACCUUGAGAAGUUUCCUGAGAUUUCAGAUGUUAUGGAGAAGUUAUCAGAGUUAUAUUUAGGUGGGACUGCAAUUAAAGAACUGUCUUCAUCAAUUAAUAAACUCACGGGCCUUGCUACUUUGGACCUACGAGGCUGUCGAGAACUCAAGAGCCUGCCGAGCAGCAUUCAUAUGGGAUCUCUUCAAACCCUUAAUCUUUCUGGUUGCUCAAACCUUGGGAAGUUUACAGAAAUUUCAGAUGUUAUGGAGAAGCUAUCAGAGUUAUAUUUAGCUGGGACUGCAAUUAAAGAACUGUCUUCGUCAAUUAAUAAACUCACGGGCCUUACUGUUUUGGACCUAUCUGGGUGUCAAGAACUCAAGAGCCUGCCGAGCAGCAUUCAUAUGAGAUCUCUUCAAACCCUUAAUCUUUCUGGUUGCUCAAACCUUGAGAAGUUUCCAGAGAUUUCAGAUGUUAUGGAGAAGCUAUCAGAGUUAUAUUUAGAUGGGACUGCAAUUAAAGAACUGCCUUCGUCAAUUAAUAAACUCACGGGCCUUACUGUUUUGGACCUAUAUGGGUGUCAAGAACUCAAGAGCUUGCCGAGCAGCAUUCGUGUGGGAUCUCUUCAUACCCUUUUUCUUUCAGGCUGCUCAAAACUUGAGAAGUUUCAUGAGAUUUCAGAUGUUGUGGAGGAGCUAUCAGAGCUUCAUUUAGAUGGGACUGCAAUUAAAGAAUUGCCUUCGUCAAUUAAUAAACUCACAGGUCUUCUUACUUUGGACCUACGAGGCUGUCGAGAACUCAAGAGCCUGCCGAGCAGCAUUCAUAUGGGAUCUCUUCAAACUCUUAAUCUUUCUGGUUGCUCAAACCUUGAGAAGUUUACAGAGAUUUCAGAUGUUAUGGAGAAGCUAUCAGAGUUAUAUUUAGCUGGGACUGCAAUUAAAGAACUGUCUUCGUCAAUUAAUAAACUCACGGGCCUUAUUACUUUGGACCUGAAAGGUUGUCGAGAACUCAAGAGCCUGCCGAGCAGCUUUCAUAUGGGAUCUCUUCAAACCCUUAAUCUUUCUGGUUGCUCAAACCUUGAGAAGUUUCCAGAGAUUUCAGAUGUUAUGGAGAAGCUAUCAGAGUUAUAUUUAGAUGGGACUGCAAUUAAAGAACUGCCUUCGUCAAUUAAUAAACUCACGGGCCUUACUGUUUUGGAC